UUCAACUUUCUCUGUAUUUCUGUGACACUGUGUCUUUCCUUUUUUUUCAAUAGCGACUUCAUUAACUUGUACAGGAUUUACUUUAGUGAGAUGAUGUUGGGAUAGAUACUUUUUCUUGUUUUGACGCUCUGUUUCAUUUGCACAGGCAACAUUGACCUUGUCCAAUAGAAGUUCAUCGCUCACCUCAUUUCUUGUGAGGGAAACAAAACUGGUCGAGAGGGCACUUGAUUUAGUCUUUCUUGCUCUACAUUUUCUGCUACCUGGUCUAAGGCCCCUCUUAUUGAUGUGUGAGGUGUUUGUUUUUCUGGAUCACUGUUUCCAAACUGAAUUUCACAAAUUUUAUCUUUUAAGCACAAAAGCUCUGACAUACCAGCAUCUUCAAGCUCUUCUAAUGUCUCUCUCUCAAUGUGUUUUACAAUCAAAGAAAUGAGUGCUGAACGACUUUUGUUGACAGCAUUUUCACACUUAACUUCCAGAAAGUGACAUAAUUCAAGAAGGUUUCCUUUUGAGAGAGCAUAUAAUGCUCCUAUAACCUCAAGCUUCAAGUCCUCUAAGGAAUCCAUAGGUUGCUCAGUCUUUGGAAAUGUGCAGUGCAAUGUAUGUGUGCAAUGUCCGUAGCUGGCUGGAAUCUUGCAGCAAUCCUGAUACUGUAAGUUGAUCUCAGAUUGAAUGCACUUUUGUCCGAACACAACAGGGACCGUGGACACCCUCACUUCACUGAUCUCCUAGGCUGAGUAAGAAGAUGAAUGGCACUGAAGGACAACUGUCAUCACUCGAAGCCGACCCACACUGCAUCCAUCCCAGCGGUGCCUCCAAAAUGUAGCGCCCUCACCGCCUGAUGAGGGACAAUAAUGUUAAUAAAAACACAGGAAACACGGAGCUGCUGCUGCUUCACGUCA